CCAAACCAACAAGCUUGCUUGUUGGGGUUGUAGGACACUCUAUACGGAGUUACAAAAGAACAUGUUAGACGAAUCAUCUGGAAAGAUGAAUCAAAGAAGGUAAUAAUCCUGUAGUCGAAAACAUAUUCUCUCUUGAGUGGAUCCUGAGUACGACGGAGCACGUGAAAUUCCGUCGGAAUCUGGGAGGACCAUCUCCUAAGGCUAAAUACUCUCUAGUGACCGAUAGUGAACCAGUACCGUGAGGGAAAGGUGAAAAGUACCCCGGAAGGGGAGUGAAAGAGAACUUGAAACCGUGUGCUUACAAGUAGUCAGAGCCCGUUAAUGGGUGAUGGCGUGCCUUUUGUAGAAUGAACCGGCGAGUUACGAUCUGAUGCAAGGUUAAGCAGCAAAUGUGGAGCCGCAGCGAAAGCGAGUCUGAAUAGGGCGUUGAGUAUUUGGUCGUAGACCCGAAACCAGGUGAUCUACCCUUGGUCAGGUUGAAGUUCAGGUAACACUGAAUGGAGGACCGAACCGACUUACGUUGAAAAGUGAGCGGAUGAACUGAGGGUAGCGGAGAAAUUCCAAUCGAACUUGGAGAUAGCUGGUUCUCUCCGAAAUAGCUUUAGGGCUAGCCUCAAGUGAUGAUUAUUGGAGGUAGAGCACUGUUUGGACGAGGGGCCCCUCUCGGGUUACCGAAUUCAGACAAACUCCGAAUGCCAAUUAAUUUAACUUGGGAGUCAGAACAUGGGUGAUAAGGUCCGUGUUCGAAAGGGAAACAGCCCAGACCACCAGCUAAGGUCCCAAAAUAUAUGUUAAGUGGAAAAGGAUGUGGCGUUGCCCAGACAACUAGGAUGUUGGCUUAGAAGCAGCCAUCAUUUAAAGAGUGCGUAAUAGCUCACUAGUCGAGUGACACUGCGCCGAAAAUGUACCGGGGCUAAACAUAUUACCGAAGCUGUGGAUUGUCCUUUGGACAAUGGUAGGAGAGCGUUCUAAGGGCGUCGAAGCAUGAUCGCAAGGACAUGUGGAGCGCUUAGAAGUGAGAAUGCCGGUGUGAGUAGCGAAAGACGGGUGAGAAUCCCGUCCACCGAUUGACUAAGGUUUCCAGAGGAAGGCUCGUCCGCUCUGGGUUAGUCGGGUCCUAAGCUGAGGCCGACAGGCGUAGGCGAUGGAUAACAGGUUGAUAUUCCUGUACCACCUAGUAUCGUUUUAAUCGAUGGGGGGACGCAGUAGGAUAGGCGAAGCGUGCUGUUGGAGUGCACGUCCAAGCAGUAAGGCUGAGUGUUAGGCAAAUCCGGCACUCAUAAGGCUGAGCUGUGAUGGGGAGAGGAAAUUGUUUCCUCGAGUCGUUGAUUUCACACUGCCGAGAAAAGCCUCUAGAUAGAUAACAGGUGCCCGUACCGCAAACCGACACAGGUAGUCAAGAUGAGAAUUCUAAGGUGAGCGAGCGAACUCUCGUUAAGGAACUCGGCAAAAUGACCCCGUAACUUCGGGAGAAGGGGUGCUCUUUAGGGUUCACGCCCAGAAGAGCCGCAGUGAAUAGGCCCAAGCGACUGUUUAUCAAAAACACAGGUCUCUGCUAAACCGUAAGGUGAUGUAUAGGGGCUGACGCCUGCCCGGUGCUGGAAGGUUAAGAGGAGUGGUUAGCUUCUGCGAAGCUACGAAUCGAAGCCCCAGUAAACGGCGGCCGUAACUAUAACGGUCCUAAGGUAGCGAAAUUCCUUGUCGGGUAAGUUCCGACCCGCACGAAAGGCGUAACGAUUUGGGCACUGUCUCAACGAGAGACUCGGUGAAAUCAUAGUACCUGUGAAGAUGCAGGUUACCCGCGACAGGACGGAAAGACCCCGUGGAGCUUUACUGUAGCCUGAUAUUGAAAUUCGGCACAGCUUGUACAGGAUAGGUAGGAGCCUUUGAAACGUGAGCGCUAGCUUACGUGGAGGCGUUGGUGGGAUACUACCCUAGCUGUGUUGGCUUUCUAACCCGCACCACUUAUCGUGGUGGGAGACAGUGUCAGGCGGGCAGUUUGACUGGGGCGGUCGCCUCCUAAAAGGUAACGGAGGCGCUCAAAGGUUCCCUCAGAAUGGUUGGAAAUCAUUCAUAGAGUGUAAAGGCAUAAGGGAGCUUGACUGCGAGACCUACAAGUCGAGCAGGGUCGAAAGACGGACUUAGUGAUCCGGUGGUUCCGCAUGGAAGGGCCAUCGCUCAACGGAUAAAAGCUACCCCGGGGAUAACAGGCUUAUCUCCCCCAAGAGUUCACAUCGACGGGGAGGUUUGGCACCUCGAUGUCGGCUCAUCGCAUCCUGGGGCUGUAGUCGGUCCCAAGGGUUGGGCUGUUCGCCCAUUAAAGCGGUACGCGAGCUGGGUUCAGAACGUCGUGAGACAGUUCGGUCCCUAUCCGUCGUGGGCGUAGGAAAUUUGAGAGGAGCUGUCCUUAGUACGAGAGGACCGGGAUGGACAUACCUCUGGUGUACCAGUUGUCGUGCCAACGGCAUAGCUGGGUAGCUAUGUAUGGACGGGAUAAGUGCUGAAAGCAUCUAAGCAUGAAGCCCCCCUCAAGAUGAGAUUUCCCAACUUCGGUUAUAAGAUCCCUCGAAGAUGACGAGGUUAAUAGGUUCGAGGUGGAAGCGUGGUGACACGUGGAGCUGACGAAUACUAAUCGAUCGAAGACUUAAUC
rnacentral:rRNA from 1 species